rnacentral:tRNA from 1 species
UAGAAAUAUAUAAUUUAAUCUGCUAAUUUAAAUUAGGGAAAAAUUUCCCAUUUCUAA